rnacentral:rRNA from 3 species
CUGUUCGCCAUUUAAAGUGGUACGCGAGCUGGGUUUAGAACGUCGUGAGACAGUUCGGUCCCUAUCUGCCGUGGGCGCUGGAGAACUGAGGGGGGCUGCUCCUAGUACGAGAGGACCGGAGUGGACGCAUCACUGGUGUUCGGGUUGUCAUGCCAAUGGCACUGCCCGGUAGCUAAAUGCGGAAGAGAUAAGUGCUGAAAGCAUCUAAGCACGAAACUUGCCCCGAGAUGAGUUCUCCCUGAGACUUAGAGUCUCCUGAAGGAACGUUGAAGACGACGACGUUGAUAGGCCGGGUGUGUAAGCGCAGCGAUGCGUUGAGCUAACCGGUACUAAUGAACCGUGAGGCUUAACCUU